CCAUUCCUGGUCUCACUUUCAUACUUGCCGUUGCUUUCAGUUAGUCUGGUUGGAGCAACUGUGAUCUUCAUUGGAUUUUAUUCGGUGAUGUGGGGACAGGCAA